rnacentral:piRNA from 1 species
UGUGCAUCCUAUCUGCCAGUAUUUGCC